rnacentral:rRNA from 1 species
UGCAAGUCGAACGAUGAACCGGGUGCUUGCACCUGGGGAUUAGUGGCGAACGGGUGAGUAACACGUGAGUAACCUGCCCUGGACUCUGGGAUAACCCCGAGAAAUCGGAGCUAAUACCGGAUAGGACCUGGAACCGCAUGGUUUUGGGUGGAAAGUUUUUUCGGUCUGGGAUGGACUCGCGGCCUAUCAGCUUGUUGGUGAGGUAAUGGCUCACCAAGGCGUCGACGGGUAGCCGGCCUGAGAGGGUGACCGGCCACACUGGGACUGAGACACGGCCCAGACUCCUACGGGAGGCAGCAGUGGGGAAUAUUGCACAAUGGGCGAAAGCCUGAUGCAGCAACGCCGCGUGAGGGAUGACGGCCUUCGGGUUGUAAACCUCUUUUAGUAGGGAAGAAGGGCUUCGGCUUGACGGUACCUGCAGAAAAAGCACCGGCUAACUACGUGCCAGCAGCCGCGGUAAUACGUAGGGUGCGAGCGUUGUCCGGAAUUAUUGGGCGUAAAGAGCUCGUAGGCGGUUUGUCACGUCUGCUGUGAAAUCCCGAGGCUCAACCUCGGGCCUGCAGUGGGUACGGGCAGACUGGAGUGCGGUAGGGGAGAUUGGAAUUCCUGGUGUAGCGGUGGAAUGCGCAGAUAUCAGGAGGAACACCGAUGGCGAAGGCAGAUCUCUGGGCCGUAACUGACGCUGAGGAGCGAAAGCGUGGGGAGCGAACAGGAUUAGAUACCCUGGUAGUCCACGCCGUAAACGUUGGGCGCUAGAUGUGGGGACCAUUCCACGGUUUCCGUGUCGUAGCUAACGCAUUAAGCGCCCCGCCUGGGGAGUACGGCCGCAAGGCUAAAACUCAAAGGAAUUGACGGGGGCCCGCACAAGCGGCGGAGCAUGCGGAUUAAUUCGAUGCAACGCGAAGAACCUUACCAAGGCUUGACAUAUACGAGAACGCCGCAGAAAUGUGGAACUCUUUGGACACUCGUAUACAGGUGGUGCAUGGUUGUCGUCAGCUCGUGUCGUGAGAUGUUGGGUUAAGUCCCGCAACGAGCGCAACCCUCGUCGUAUGUUGCCAGCACGUAAUGGUGGGAACUCAUAUGAGACUGCCGGGGUCAACUCGGAGGAAGGUGGGGAUGACGUCAAAUCAUCAUGCCCCUUAUGUCUUGGGCUUCACGCAUGCUACAAUGGCCGGUACAAAGGGCUGCGAUGUCGUAAGGCGGAGCGAAUCCCAAAAAGCCGGUCUCAGUUCGGAUUGAGGUCUGCAACUCGACCUCAUGAAGUCGGAGUCGCUAGUAAUCGCAGAUCAGCAACGCUGCGGUGAAUACGUUCCCGGGCCUUGUACACACCGCCCGUCAAGUCAUGAAAGUCGGUAACACCCGAAGCCGGUGGCCUAACCCUUGUGGAGGGAGCCGUCGAAGGUGGGAUCGGUGAUUAGGACUAAGUC